UACAAAGUGUACUCCAGGUUGAAUGACCCGGACUUGGAGAAUUGUUCUUCUGGGAGGUGUGGCGGAUCCCACUGUGAGAAAGAACCUGCAGGAAGGGGCCAAGGCUUCCUGAAAGAGUCAUCAUGACUCCAACACUGGACCAUAUUCUGACCACUAGAGGAACUGAAUUAGAGUUUCACUGAUGACAACUCCAUGCUGUUUGGGAUCAGCCAGACUUGACAAAACAUGCUGACACACCAAUCACGUGUCACAACACCAGACUCACAGACAACAUUUUCAUGGACACUGAGCCACUUCUGCUUUUAUCCUGUCCUCCUCCACUUCUAGCCUUCAGACACUUGGUGCCUCCCUGAGGAUACACCAACACUUCAAGAACACAGAGUGCACCUGGAGUCGGCUGAGUAGUCCUGUGUCCUGAAAUAACUGCUCGACGUUCCCAGAGCCAGUAAAUGGGAUUUGGGACAUUUUUGUCAUGAAGUCACAAUGUGGGACUAUAAAUGUCUUGCCUUUAAGGGUAGGGUCUUCCCAUGACCCAUCCAUAACAUUUGUGAAAAUGUUGUGUGUUGUGCGUUUUGGAGAGAAGAAUUUUCAUUAUCUUCACAAAGGGAUCUGUUACCCUAAAAGAUUUAGAAUCACUCAGCUUAUUGGUAAGAUGUGCCUAUUCUUUUAGACUCCAGGUGAGGCUUGAUCUCCAGUCUCAAAAGGAAAUAUAUGAUGUCAUCAGACCCCUAGUAAGGUAUUUCUGAAUGUAUGAUAUC
rnacentral:lncRNA from 1 species